UCCAGACUGAGCCUGUGGAAAUUUUGAUUUCCUGCUCCUUUCAUUGAAAACCUACCUUGGACGCAUUAUCUCAGUUCCUGGCCAAUAGAGCCUACCUCAUGUGUUGGCAUACGGGGUAUGUGGAAACUGCACAGCCCUAGGCAUACGACGGGUGCUCGGUUAAAAAGAAGUCGAAAAGGAGCUGAGGUUUCUAUGCUCCAUCGGUUUUUUAUUCUCCCUAGCAUCUUAAGCUCUCUGUGCUAUUUUAUGAUCUGGCUAAUUGUCCCAUCACAAUCUGAGCUCCUCAAGAGUAAGCAAGAGAUUUUUCUGAGGAUCCCUUGUGCUCUGCUACGUACUGCUUAUAAAAACAGGUUUGGGUGAAUGUGGUGAAAGAAAAACUAGAGAGCGAGGGAGCUAUUGGCUUCAUAAGUCAGAACAAUUGAGAAAGUUUUGGAACAACCUUCUGAAGACCUCUUUUCUCAUCCCCACAGCUUCUUAUCUGUAAAACAGGGCGGUGGGGUGGGGUGGGGAUAACACUCUCCUUGAUUAUUGUGUAAAGUUGUGAGGAUCCUAAAAGUGCUUAUCAAGGUUGUUUUGGAAAUCACUGAGCUUUAUCAAAGAAAAAGUGGUAUUCCGGGUAAAGGGGGAAAUUUCCAUUGGCGAGGUGAACAGAAGGGCACCCAAAACUCCUGUGGCUGCGAGGAAUUUAUCCAAUGUCAAAUCGUCGACUGUCAGUAAACCAGAAAAUUAAAACAGAUUCUCAGAUUCGGAGGAAGAAAGUCAGCAUAUGCCCCAACUGGAAAGUUUCCGAGGUAAAUGCAGGGACAGCUUGAGAAAACCAGCUUAUUAAGAUGCUAACUAUAACGUGUCCAUGCGCAUGGGAAUACUUUGUUUCCAUUUCAUAAUCUUAUUCCGAUUUAAUUUUUAAUGGUUUGAAGCUUAUUUUGAAAUUUAUAAAUGUUCAUUGUACAGUAUAUAUAGCAUGCCAUUCUGGAGUAAUAAAAGCAAUAUAGUAUAUUGAGAUUUUAUUAAAAAAUUAGUUUUUCACAAGACAAGAACAAAUGUCCAUUUCAUCUAAGUUCUCAAAUUAUUAGCUUAAAUUUUUCACAAUAUUUCCUUAUUAGCCUUUAAAACCUGUAGCAUCUGUAGUGAGGUCACAUCUCUCGAUAUCUGUCAUUUGUAUCUUCUCUUUUCUUUUGUCUGAUCAGUUUGGCUGAUGGUUUAUUAUUUGAUUUUCUCAACCAGUUUUUUUUUUCAUUGCUUUUUUUCUGUUAUUUUCUGUCUUCAACUUGAUUGUUUUUUGCUCUGAUCUAUAUUGUUUUCUUUUUCUUUUUUUUUUUUUUUAAGAUUUUAUUUAUUCAUCUGAGACAGAGAUAAGGAGAGAGAGAGAGAGAGCAUGAGCAGGGAGAGAGGCAGAGGGGGAGGGAGAAGCAGGCUCCUCGCUGAGCCUGGAGCCGGAUGUGGGGCUCCAUCCCAGGAACCUGGGAUCAUGACCUGAGCCGAAGGCAGACGCUUAACCAUCUGAGCCACCCAGGCGUCCCUAUAUUGUUUUCUUUUUCCUACCUGGGAUUUAAGUUGCUCCUCUGUUUGUAAUUUCUUAAGGAAGAAGCUGAGGUCAUUUGAUGUGGGAUCUUUUUUCCCCCCAACAUAUGUGUUUAGUGUAUGAAUUUCCCUCCAUCUACUGCUUUAACUGUGUCCCACAGAUUUUGAAAUGUUUAUUAUUUUGAUUGGGUUCAAAACACUUUCUAAUUUCUCUUUGCUUUUUUAUUUGACCCAUGAACUAUUUAGAAGUGUGUUAGUUUUCUAAUAGUUCCAGUUUUCUGGGUACCUUUCUGCUACAGAUUUCUAAUUCAAUUCCAUUGUGGUCACAGAAUAUAGUUUGUAAUAUUUGGAUCCUUUAAAAUUUAUUGAUAUUUAUAGCCCCGAUUCUGGUCCAUGUUGAUAAAUGCUCCAUGUAUGAUUGAAAAGAAUGUAUAUGCUGCUGUUGUGCCAAGUGUUCUAAAACAUCAUUUAUCACAAGUUGGUUGAUAGCAUUGUUUAAGACUUUUUUGUCCUUUCUGAAUUGCUACCAACAUGUUCUAUCAAUUACUGAGAGGUUAUUGAAAUCUCCAAUGAUUAUGGAAAUUUUCCUAUUUCUCUUUUCAUUUCUAACAGCUCUUGCUUCAUGUAUUUGGAAGCUCCACAUGAAAUGAUUAAACAUUUAGGAUAAACUGAUCCCUCUAUGAUUAUGAAAUAACCUUAUUUCUUGGUAAUAUCUUUUGCUUUGCAAUUUACUUUUUCUAAUAUUAAUAUAACCACUACAAUAGCUUUUUUUGAUUAGUGUUAACAUAACAUAGCUUUUCCCAUCCUUUACUUUUAACCUAUUUAUGUCUUUAUAUUUAAUGCAGGCUUCUUUUUAAAAAAAAGAUGUUAUUUAUUUGAGAGAGAGUGAGAGAGAGAGAGCAGAAGCAGAGGGAGAAGCAGACUUCCCGCUGAGCAGGGAGCCCAAGGACGCAAGGUUCAGUGCCAGGACCCUGACAUCAUGACUUGAGCCAAAGGCAGCUGCUGACUGAGCCACCGAGGUGCCUUAAAGCAGGCUUCUUAUAGGCGGUAUAUAUAUAACUGGAUUUUUAAAAUCUAAAUAGACAGUUCUGACUUUUAAUGAAGUAGGUGUUUAGACCAUUUAAACUUAAUAUGAUUUUUAUAUCCCAGGCUUUAAAAUUUAUCAUCUUGAAAUCUAUUUUCUGUUUCUCCCAUCUGUUAUACAUUCCCUUUUUCCUUCUACUUUUUUUUUUUUUGGUUUGUUUUGACUAAUUGAAUUUUCUUAUUCCAUUUUAUUCAUUUUGCUGGUCUGUUAGCUACAGUUCUUUUUAAUAAUUGCAAUGAUUGCUUUAGCAUGUAUAAUGUACAUCUGUUUUAGUUUCCUCAGGCUACUGUAAGAAAAUACCAGAAACUGGGUGGCUUACAACAACAAAUUUAUUUGCUCACUGUUUUGGAGGCAAGAAGCCUGAAAUCAAUGUAUUGGUAGGAUUGGUUUCUACUGGAGGUGUUGAAAGACAAUUUGUUCCAUGCUUCUCUCCUAGCUUCUGGUAGUUGCUGACAAUCCUUGGUGGCUCUUCUUCUGUCUUAACAUGGCAUUUAACCCUGUGUCUUUGUGCCUUCACAGGGCCAUUUUCCCUCUGUCUGUGUCUAUACCCAAAUUUCUGUAGUCUUAUGAGGACAGCAGUUAUUCAUUAAGGGCUUGUCCUAAUCCAAUAUAUCUCAUCUUAACUUGAUCACAUCUGCAAAAACCCUAUUUCCAAAUAAGGAUACAUUCACAGGUAUGGAGGAUUAGAACUUGCAAAUAUAUUUUGGAGGGACCCAAAGAUGCAGCAACAUCUUUAACAUCAUAAUCUAUCUUCAAGUAUUAUUAUACCAUUUUAUGUAUGGUAAAAGAAUAUUACAACAGUAUACUUUUCUUUCUUCUUGGUCUUUAUGUUAUUAUCAUACAUUUACUUCUAAGUAUGUUAUAAACCACACAAUACAUAGUUACUAUUUUUUAUUUCAAUAGUUAUUUGUCUGGGAAAGAAUUUUUAGAACUAAGAAAAUUUGUAUUUAUCCACAUAUUUUUCACCUCUUGUACGCUUCAUUCUUUUUAUAGAUAGAUAUUCCAUCUUGUAUCACUUUCUUUCUACCUAAGUAUUCUCUAACAUUUGUUAGAAUGCAAAUCUGGUAGUGAAUUCUUUCAUACUUUUCCAACUCUAAAAAGUAUUAAGCCUUAGUUUUAAAAUUUUGGUAAAAAACACAUAACAUUAAAUUUACCAUGUUAGGGACGCCUGGGUGGCUCAGUCGUUAAGCAUCUGCAUUUGGCUCAGGUCGUGAUCCCAGGGUCCUGGGAUCGAGCCCCACAUUGGGCUCCCUGCUCGGCGGGAAGCCUGCUUCUCCCUCUGCCACUCCCCCUGCUUGUGUUCCCUCUCUCGCUGUGUCUCUCUCUUCAAAUAAAUUAAAAAAAAAAAAAUUUACCAUGUUAACCAUUUUUAAAUGACUGGUUCAGUAAUAUUAAGUAUAUUCAUAGUGUUAUGCAACAGAUCUCUAUAACUUUUCUUCUUGUAGCAUUGAAAAUCUUUAUCCACUAAAUACUAAUUACUCCUCUCCAAUCCCCCCAGCCUUUGGCAACCACCUUUCUACUUUCUGCUUCUAUGGGCUUGGCUUCUUUAGACACUAGAUAUGAAGGAAAUCAUACAUUAUUUGUUCUUUUGUGACUGGCUUAUUUUAUUUAGCAAAUGUCCAUCCAUUUUGUAGCAUGUUACAGGAUUUCCUGCUUUUUAAAGAAUGUAUAAUAUCCCAAUAUAUGUAUAUAUCACAUUUUCUUUAUCCGUUUAUUCAAUCAUAAAGAUUUGGAUUGCUUCCAUCACUCAGCUGUUGUGAGUAAUGCUGCAAUGAAAAUGGGUGUGCAAAUACCGUAUCAAGUCUCUCCUUUGAAUGCUAUUGGAUACAUACCAGAAAAAAAUGCUAAAAUCAUUAACUGCAGCCAGGGAAAGGACUGUGAUCAUUGGUAUGGAGUCCCAGCAACCCAUAACAGUAGCAGCAGUAACACAUGUAGACUUCUUAUGAGGAAACGGAGGUGCAGAGAGGUGAAAUAGCUUGUUAAAAAAGUCAUCCCGUUGGUAGCAGUAAAGCCGAGAUUUGAACCUGAGAGAUGAGCCCAGGCCGUACUUAACACCUCUGACCUAUCUUGUCUCUGGUACUUUGCUGCCUUUCACUUAGUGUCGUCUUUGGGUUUGAGCCCAGAUCAAGGUUUCCCUAAUUUGUUUCUCUGAGUUGUGGAGAGUGAAUGAAUAGGAAGGACAGGAGGUAGUGAUCAGAAAAUGGGAUUUUAAAAUUGAGAAUGUAAAGAAUUUGAACUUAAUGACUAAGGCUAUAGCAACAUAGUCCAAUAAAAAUAUGUGAAUCAUGUAUAUUUUAAUGAGAUACUUAAAUUUUUUACAUAAUUCUUCAGAACCUUACACUUACAACACAUCUUAAACUAGUCACAUUUCAAAUGCUCAGUAGCCACAAGUGGCCUAGUGACUGUUAUAUUGGAUGGCACAGUUCUAGAGUAUGACCAUGGGAGUGAGUGGUUGGGUAGAGACACCAGGGUGUUAGAAAGAUCACCUAUGUGGGGGUGCCUGGGUGGCUCAGUUGGUUGAGCAACUGCCUUCGGCUCAGGUCAUGAUCCUGGAGUCCCAGGAUCGAGUCCCACACCGGGCUCCCUGCUCAGUGGGGAGUCUGCUUCUCCCUCUGGUCCUCCCCCUCUCAUGCUGUCUCCCAUUCUCUCUCUCAGAUAAAUAAAUAAAAUCUUAAAAAAAAAAAAAAAAGAAAAAGAAAGAUCACCUAUGUGAAUACUGGAAUCACCAAGAAUGUUACUCAGUCACUAAUAAAAACAUGUUAGACCUAUAUGUAAUGAGUUGAAAAUACCUCCAAGACACAUAGUGAAGUGAAAAUUAAUUUUCAGUAUGUAUGGAUAAUAUUAUUUUAAAAAAAUAUGUUGUUAUAAAAGAAUACUGCAAGGAAAGAGGCAUGCUAACUUAAUAGUGGGUCCCUCUGGAGAAUGGAGAAGAAAUAGGAUGUGGGAGUGAAGGGGGACUUUCAAAUCUUGCUCUGUAUAUUUCUGGGUCAUUUGAAUAUGUUACAUUGAGAUGGUAUUCAUGUAUCAUCUUUGUAUAAUUUUUUUAAAGAGUUAAAAUAUGAAUACCAUUGAUCCAGUUAUCAGUUUGACUUAGUUCCCCCCUAGUCACCUGCCUUUUCCUCAGUUUCAAGUAUAAUGAAUUAUUCUGAGAACUAGCUAGUUUUAUUUUAAUUUUUUUCAUUAGCACUAGGGUAUAUCUCAGUUUGUUAUCUAUGAUGUCAUAAAGCACCUUGGUAAGACUUCCAUUUUGCUUUGGGUUGCGUGGGGCCUCAGGUGACCAAAUCUUAUCUCAAGAUAUACAUGGUUAAGACAAGGAGAAUGAACUGUGGGGCUCCACUCUGUGCCUUAUUCAUCAGACAGUGCUCAUUUCCUUAACUGAGAUAAAGAAAUGCUCUCGAAGACUUAAAGAAGUAUGCUGUAAUCUCUUUCCUUAAAUUCUGAGCUUUUUGAGGGCAGGGACUGAAUCUUUGGACGCCUGAUAUCUAUAUUAAUGCACAGCAUAAUAGGCACCCAAUAAAAGUUCCUUUAACAGCACAUUUGUAAAUGAUAAGAGGCCAGAAAAGUAUAUAGAGUUAAGAGUGUAGGGUAGAGGAAUGGGCUGUAUGUUAACUUCUAUGUGUUGCUUUCUUACAAACUUUCAACUGCUCCUUCCAAAUAUAGGUCAAAUGUCACUUUUUCCCCUUAGUUUUCCCUUCUGCCUGAGUAGUUAACAGCCAUAUCCUCAAUGUGCUCACAGAAUUAUUUGUGUACUUCUCAAACCUUCUCUCGCUAUGUGUUCACAUUUUAAAUUUCUCUUUUUUUUUUUUUUUUAAAGAUUUUAUUUAUUUAUUUGACAG